rnacentral:rRNA from 1 species
AUUGAACGCUAGCGGGAUGCCUUACACAUGCAAGUCGAACGGAGUGGCGAACGGGUGAGUAAUGUAUCGGAACGUGCCCAGUAGCGGGGGAUAACCACGCGAAAGCGUAGCUAAUACCGCAUACUUUUGGAGCGGCCGAAAUCGGAUUAGCUAGUUGGUGGGGUAACGGCUCACCAAGGCGACGAUCCGUAGCUGGUUUGAGAGGACGACCAGCCACACUGGGACUGAGACACGGCCCAGACUCCUACGGGAGGCAGCAGUGGGGAAUUUUGGACAAUGGGGGGAACCCUGAUCCAGCAAUCCCGCGUGUGCGAUGAAGGCCUUCGGGUUGUAAAGUACUUUCAGCGAGGAGGCGUUCCUCGCAGAAGAAGCACCGGCUAACUCCGUGCCAGCAGCCGCGGUAAUAC